rnacentral:snRNA from 1 species
AGCUUUGCGUGUGGCACUAUCAUAGCCAAUGAGGUUUAUCCGGGGCAUGAUUAUUGCUAAUUGAAAACAAAAUGGAAGACA